UACAAUACUCAACAACUCAUUAAUCUGAAUCCUGAGAUCGUCCACAGAAUUUUCCCCCACAUCUGUUUGGUCUUUAACUGUGGUUUCUCCAGGAGCAGAACUGAGUACAAUAGAAUUUGGUCUUGGAGAUGAAGACAGAGGUGUUGAAGUGAACACAGGUGACUGAAAGAAAUCAAUAAAAAGGACCCUGCCGAUGAGUGGAAUUGGAGGAAAUGUGUACAUCAGGUUCCCUGGCCAACACAGGAGGAAGGCAUCAGAGAGGGAGCCCUUGCUCAGACCUUGCCAAGAGCAAAACCGGUGGCAUUUCCUGUUCUGUCUGGUAGCAAACAGGUUCCCCACCUUUAGAAGAUCAAGCAGGCUACCUCUGGAUGGAGCGACCACUCAUGGUGAGAAGAAAAGUCCCUGCUGAGCUGGUCCACCAGCAUAUUCUUGACACCGGGAAGGUGACAAGCUUCCAGGUGGAUUUCGUGGCUGAUGCAGAAGUCCCACAGAUGGAGUGCCUCUUGACAGAGCGCCGACAAGCACGCUCCCCCUUGCCUGUUGAUGUAGACAGUGUGCAUCCCAGCCGAGGCAUCUGACACCAACUCAAUGGAGUGAGGGGGGGUUGUCAAAUGUAACUUCCUCCAGGACUGUCCUGCGGUCGGUCCACCAUCACAGCGAGGUAAGUAUCACCUGGGGAACGGUAACGAUCUUUUCCGGCGGUUUCUGGACUAGGACUGGACCAUCCCCAGUCGUUGCAGGGGCCACAUUCAGAGCCCGGCACAGCAGACCAUGUAAGUGCACGCUGCCAUGCGACCCAAGAGGCGCAGACAGACCCUGGCUGUAGUCAGAGGGAACAUGGAGACUUCCACGAUGAGGUUCAUCAACAUGUGGAACCUUUCCAGUGGCAGGAACGCCCUGGCACAGGUCGAGUCGAGGACCACUCCGAUGAACUCUAUCCUCUGCACUGGCACUAACGUUGACUUUUUGUCAUUUACCAGUAGGCUCAGAGAGCGGCAUGUGGUCUGAAGCACUGCAACAUCCCUUUGGACUUGAGACCUGGGGGAACUGCCCUUGAUAAGCCAGCCGUUGAGGUAUGGGUAGAUCUGAAUACCCUAGUGCCUGAGGGCAGUGAAGCAAUCAGGCAGGCUGAGACUACCUCUCCACCCAGGUGAGACUGCCUUCAAGCACACAGCCAUUGUCCAAGCCCAGGAAAAAAACAAUGAGGAACCAUCAACGCAAAAUGAGAACAGCCUGAAACUGA